CCUGGACAAAGGGCAGGGGCUCGGACCACCCAGCCCUCACUGCCUCGCCAGUCCUACCUGCCAAGCCAUGUGGCUCCCGCUGGUCCUGCUGCUGCUGCUGCUCCCUGUGGUCCCCGUCCCCAGUGCCACUGCCGCUCCCAUCCCGGAUGCCAAUGCCAAAAGCCAGGACAGCCUGGAGAGCAUGCUCCAAGGUGCUCAAGCUGGAGGAGACAGAGGGCCGAGGGUGUUCCCAAAUCGAGUUCCUCACUCUGACUGUCCUCCUGGGUUAUGAGGUGGCCGCCGUGGUGCUGCAGCCCCAAAACCCAGGCAGCUGGCCUGCGGCUCUGUGAGAAGCCUCCACGGCUCCGGGCCAUCCGCAGCCAGCUUCUUAAAGGAGGCCUGCCUGGAAAGGAGACCUGGGACCUCCCUCACUUCAAACAGCCCACCCCCAAGACCCACUUUUUGUCCUUUCCCAGGCUCAUCAGCAGCUGUUGGGGCCGGGGGUGGGCACCAGAGCACUUCAGGGGACAGACAUACCCUUACCAGACCCAUUCCCAGCUCCAUUUAGAAAUAAAGUUCUGUCUUACAGCCA